rnacentral:rRNA from 1 species
AUUGAACGCUGGCGGCAGGCCUAACACAUGCAAGUCGAGCGGAUGAAGGGAGCUUGCUCCUGGAUUCAGCGGCGGACGGGUGAGUAAUGCCUAGGAAUCUGCCUGGUAGUGGGGGAUAACGUCCGGAAAAGGGCGCUAAUAACACAUACGUCCUGAGGGAGAAAGAGGGGGAUCUUCGGACCUCACGCUAUCAGAUGAUCCUAGGUCGGAUUAGCUAGUUGGUGGGGUAAAGGCCUACCAAGGCGACGCUCCGUAACUGGUCUGAGAGGAUGAUCAGUCACACUGGAACGGAGACACGGUCCAGACUCCUACGGGAGGCAGCAGUGGGGAAUAUUGGACAAUGGGCGAAAGCCUGAUCCAGCCAUGCCGCGUGUGUGAAGAAGGUCUUCGGAUUGUAAAGCACUUUAAGUUGGGAGGAAGGGCAGUAAGUUAAUACCUUGCUGUUUUGACGUUACCAACAGAAUAAGCACCGGCUAACUUCGUG